AAGGAAAGCUUAGGCGUAUGUU
rnacentral:miRNA from 1 species